rnacentral:rRNA from 1 species
UAGGGAGGGUGCAAGCGUUAAUCGGAAUGGCUGGGCGUAAAGCGCACGCAGGCGGUUUGUUAAGUCAGAUGUGAAAUCCCCGAGCUUAACUUGGGAACUGCAUUUGAAACUGGCAAGCUAGAGUCUUGUAGAGGGGGGUAGAAUUCCAGGUGUAGCGGUGAAAUGCGUAGAGAUCUGGAGGAAUACCGGUGGCGAAGGCGGCCCCCUGGACGAAGACUGACGCUCAGGUGCGAAAGCGUGGGGAGCAAACAGG